UGGGGAAUCUUCCGCAAUGGACGAAAGUCUGACGGAGCAACGCCGCGUGAGUGAUGACGGCCUUCGGGUUGUAAAGCUCUGUUAAUCGGGACGAAAGGCCUUCUUGCGAAUAGUGAGAAGGAUUGACGGUACCGGAAUAGAAAGCCACGGCUAACUACGUGCCAGCAGCCGCGGUAAUACGUAGGUGGCAAGCGUUGUCCGGAAUUAUUGGGCGUAAAGCGCGCGCAGGCGGAUAGGUCAGUCUGUCUUAAAAGUUCGGGGCUUAACCCCGUGAUGGGAUGGAAACUGCCAAUCUAGAGUAUCGGAGAGGAAAGUGGAAUUCCUAGUGUAGCGGUGAAAUGCGUAGAUAUUAGGAAGAACACCAGUGGCGAAGGCGACUUUCUGGACGAAAACUGACGCUGAGGCGCGAAAGCCAGGGGAGCGAACGGGAUUAGAUACCCCGGUAGUCCUGGCCGUAAACGAUAGGUACUAGGUGUAGGAGGUAUCGACCCCUUCUGUGCCGGAGUUAACGCAAUAAGUACCCCGCCUGGGGAGUACGACCGCAAGGUUG
rnacentral:rRNA from 1 species